AGAGCAGACUACAGUGUAUGGAAUACAUUGACUCAAAAAGCAACUGGCAUUGGUAGAGGUGAAUAUACAAAGACCAUUGCAGCUACAGAUGAGUGGUGGCCAUUGGAGAUAAAGGCAAAUCCGUUAGCUGCGAAGUUCCGGUAUGCUCCACUAGCAGAGGAGGACAAAAUGAGAGAGGUGUUUGAUGCUUGUUGUGUCACAAAUGAACAUGCUAGGGUGCCAAUUCCCACAUAUCAAGGUGGUUCAUCUCGCUUUAAUAUGGAUGAUGAUUCAGGUUGUGAAAGUCAUGAUGUCGAAGCUACACCUCGUACGAAGCGUGCCAAGAUUGGGAAGAAGAUGCCAUGUUCUUAUUCGCCAAGUCCUAGGAUGAAUGAGAAGUGGUCAAAUGAAAGUGUUAAAACCGAUGCACUUGUACGUAUGGUUGACCUCUUUGGUGCAAGGGAAAAGAGAAAGGGAAACCUAGGAGAGGAUACAACAAGAAAGGAGACUGGAGACAUGAUGAACAUGGUGAUUGCAGAUGGUGCUAAACCUGGGAGUGAUGUGCAUUUCUAUGCUUCCCAUCUUAUGUUG
rnacentral:rRNA from 1 species